rfam:Ornithorhynchus anatinus chromosome 3, whole genome shotgun sequence.
ACCCUCUCAAGAUGGCACCUGGAGAGUUUCUUGUGUUCUACCAGUCUCAGCUAUGGGAGGGAGAGUCAAGCAAAGGUAUAUCCAUUUCAUUCCUAGCUUGGGUAGUGGCUUGCGAGUGGAAGGCAAUUUGCUACAAGU